rnacentral:rRNA from 1 species
GAUGAACGCUAGCGGCAGGCCUAACACAUGCAAGUCGAGGGGUAGAAGGAGCUUGCUCCUUUGAGACCGGCGCACGGGUGCGUAACGCGUAUGCAAUCUACCUUGUACAGGGGAAUAGCCCAGAGAAAUUUGGAUUAAUGCCCCAUAGUGUAUAACCUUCGCAUGUUGGUUAUAUUAAAGUUCCAACGGUACAAGAUGAGCAUGCGUCCCAUUAGUUAGUUGGUAAGGUAACGGCUUACCAAGACGAUGAUGGGUAGGGGUCCUGAGAGGGAGAUCCCCCACACUGGUACUGAGACACGGACCAGACUCCUACGGGAGGCAGCAGUGAGGAAUAUUGGUCAAUGGUCGCAAGACUGAACCAGCCAUGCCGCGUGCAGGAAGACGGUCCUAUGGAUUGUAAACUGCUUUUAUACAGGAAGAAACCCUCCCACGUGUGGGAGCUUGACGGUACUGUAGGAAUAAGGAUCGGCUAACUCCGUG